rnacentral:rRNA from 1 species
CAGUAGCCGCGGUAAUACGGAGGGUGCAAGCGUUAAUCGGAAUUACUGGGCGUAAAGCGUGCGUAGGUGGUGGUUUAAGUCCGUUGUGAAAGCCCUGGGCUCAACCUGGGAAUUGCAGUGGAUACUGGGUCACUAGAGUGUGGUAGAGGAUAGUGGAAUUUCCGGUGUAGCAGUGAAAUGCGUAGAGAUCGGAAGGAACAUCUGUGGCGAAGGCGACUAUCUGGGCCAACACUGACACUGAGGCACGAAAGCGUGGGGAGCAAACAGGAUUAGAUACCCGGGUAGUCCCUGUCUCUUAUAC